UAGCGUAUAUUAAAGUUGUUGCGGUUAAAAAGUUCGUAGUUGGAUUUCUGUGAAGGAUAACCGGUCCGCUCUAUGAGCGUGUAUCUGUUUGUCCUUUGCAUCCUCGCGGAAUACGUCACUGUGCUUCACUGCAUGGGGCGGGCUUCGCGACUUUUACUUUGAGGAAAUUAGAGUGUUCACGGCAGGCUCACGCCAUGAAUAUAUUAGCAUGGAAUAAUAAUAUAGGAUCUGUUGCCUAUUUUGUUGGUUUCUAGGCGGUAGAUAAUGAUUAAGAGGGACAGUUGGGGGUAUUCAUAUUUCGUUGUC
rnacentral:rRNA from 1 species